AAUCUGAAAUCUCUUGUAUCUCUAGAGAUGGUGAAUUGUGGGGGAUUCGUGUCGUUUCCAAAAGAGGGUUUGCCCCCAAACCUAAUCAAUCUUGUAAUUUGUGAAUGCAAGAAUCUGACAUAGCCAGUGUCAGAGUGGAGACUUGAAAGACUCUCCUCACUUAUAGAUUUAACAAUCAUAGGUACAAGUCCUAGUACAGAUAUGGUUUCCUUUCCAGAUGAAGAGGGAAAACUGCUUCCCUCUUCCCUCACCAGUCUUUCAGUCCAACGUCUUGAGAAUCUGAAAUCCAUAUCCAGGGGUCUUCACAACCUCACCUCA
rnacentral:misc_RNA from 1 species